rnacentral:tRNA from 2 species
GCGUGUGUAACUCAGUCGGAAGAGUAACCGGCUUUUAACCGGUAAGCCGUGGGUUCGAGCCCCACCACACGCA